CGCGUAGGAACUACCCAGUAGUGGGGACGAACAGUUGGAACGACUGCUAAUACCGCAUACGCUCUACGGAGGAAAGGGGCGUUCGGCUCUCGCUAUUGGAUGUGCCUGCGUGAGAUUAGCUAGUUGGUGGGGUAAAGGCCUACCAAGGCGACGAUCUCUAGCUGGUCUGAGAGGAUGAUCAGCCACACUGGGACUGAGACACGGCCCAGACUCCUACGGGAGGCAGCAGUGGGGAAUAUUGGACAAUGGGCGCAAGCCUGAUCCAGCCAUGCCGCGUGUGUGAAGAAGGCCUUUCGGGUU
rnacentral:rRNA from 1 species